UACCAGCACCUCGAGUGGUCAGGAGGUUUAUUGGGCCUAAAGCAUCCGUAGCCGGCUGCUCAAGUUUCCGGUUAAAUCCACACGCUUAACGUAUGGGCUGCCGGAAAUACUGUUCAGCUAGGGAGUGGGAGAGGUAGACGGUACUCGAUAGGAAGGGGUAAAAUCCUUUGAUCUAUUGAUGACCACCUGUGGCGAAGGCGGUCUACCAGAACACGUUCGACGGUGAGGGAUGAAAGCUGGGGGAGCAAACCGGAUUAGAAA
rnacentral:rRNA from 1 species